rnacentral:tRNA from 1 species
GGACCUAUGGUCUAGUGGUAUGACGUUACCCUUACAAGGUGAAGGUCGCCGGUUCGAUCCCGGCUAGGUCCA